CUGAGACACGGUCCAGACUCCUACUUGAGGCAGCAGUGGGGAAUUUUGCGCAAUAGGGGAAACCCUGACGCAGGAAUACCGCGUGAGUGAAGAAUGCCUUUGGGUCGUAAAGCUCUUCUCUAAGGGAAGAUAGUGACGGUACCUUAGGAAUAAGCACCGGCUAACUCCGUGCCAGCAGCCGCGGUAAUACGGAUGGUGCAAGCGUAGUUCGGAUUAACUGGGCGUGAAGGGCACGUAUGCUGCACAUGCAAGUUAAGGGUGAAAUCCCGGAACUCAACUCCGGAACUGCUCUUAAAACUGCUGAGCUAGAGAUAGUCAGAGGCGGGUGGAAUUCCUGGUGUAGAGGUGAAAUUCGUAGAUAUCAUGAGGAACACCGGUGGCGAAUAGCGGGCCGCUGGGGACUAUUCUGACGCUAAGGUGCGAAAGCGUGGGGAGCGAACGGGAUUAGAUACCCCGGUAGUCCACGCCGUAAACGAUGAAUACCGGCUGUUUGGGGCAUCGACACCCCAAGUGGCGCAGUUAACGCGUUGAGUAUUCCGCCUGGGGAGUACGGUCGCAAGACUAGAACUCAAAGGAAUUGACGGGGGCCCGCACAAGCGGUGGAGCAUGUGGUUUAAUUCGACGCUACGCGAAGAACCUUACCUGGGUUUGACAUCCUCUGACCGCCAUAGAGAUAUGGUUUCCCCUUCGGGGGCAGAGUGACAGGUGCUGCAUGGCUGUCGUCAGCUCGUGUCGUGAGAUGUUGGGUUAAGUCCCGCAACGAGCGCAACCCUUGUCCUUAGUUGCCAGCAUUUCGGAUGGGAACUCUAAGGAGACUGCCGGUGUUAAGCCGGAGGAAGGUGGGGAUGACGUCAAGUCCUCAUGGCCUUUAUAUCCAGGGCUACACACGUGCUACAAUGGUGACUACAAAGAGCGGCAAUACCGCGAGGUGGAGCGAAUCUCAAAAAAGUCAUCUCAGUUCGGAUUGCAGUCUGCAACUCGACUGCAUGAAGUUGGAAUCGCUAGUAAUCGUAGAUCAGCGUGCUACGGUGAUACGUUCCCGGGCCUUGUACACACCGCCCGUCACACCAUGGGAGU
rnacentral:rRNA from 1 species